ensembl:lncRNA
AUGGAAGUUCUCAGGCUGGGGGUUGAAUCGGAGCUACAUCUGCAGGCCUACGUCACAGCCACAGCAACGUGGGAUCCAAGCCACAUCUGCGACCUACAGCACGACUCACGGCAACACCGGAUCCUCAACUCACUGAGCGAGGCCAGGGAUUGCACCUGUGUCCUCAUGGAUACUCGUCGGGUUCAUUACCGCUGCGCCACAACAGAAACUCCUCUACCAUGUGCUUUUGAGACAGUCUCUCCAAUUUUGCCUGCUCGGAAAAGAGAGAGCCGAUGAUGAUGGGUUUUAGUCCACUGUGUUAACAACAGAUCACAUGGAAAAUGGUGCCUUGUUUUAUGUGCGCAGAACAAGAGGAAAUGGCUUGAAUUGCCUCGGGAAGAGUUGAGGUGAGCUUUCAGCAAGAAGUGGACAGAAUUAUUAACUACUGAAUGGGAAUCCAAGGCAAGUGAUGGAAUGGCUACCUGAAAAUUUUUUGUUGGGCUGGAGAGUGACUUCCGUUCUGGACGGUGAAAUUACCUAGAAUGGCUUGUGUCUUUGCCUCCAGCUGUAGGUGUAUUAAUCCUGAGAUGAUCGUAGCUUGGGUCUCUCCUCACACCAGCCUGGGUGCUCACAGCCCAAAGCCAUCCUCCCAUCUGCCCCCAAAAGGGGUAGAAAGAAUGAAGAAUCACCUCUGAGCACUGGUUUCUCUUUUUAUUCAUUUUUAUUUAUCUCAGUUCCCAGACCAGGGAUUGAAUCUGGGCUACAGCAGUUGAACGUGCUGAAUCCUAGCCACUAGACCACCAGGGAACUCCCCUCUCUUUUUAAUUUUUUGAGUUUUUCUGCCCUUCCUUGGAGGUCCUUCAGCUUGGCGUCCUCUGCAGUGGGCUCUUUGAUCACAUCUCUGGGACUGAACAUCUGUUUCGCAGCCCCCGCCGGUCCAGAGGGGACUCUUCCGGGCGCUUCCUGUUCUAAGGGAGGAUGGACAGGAGUCUGGGCUCUUGCUCAGGGGGAACUUGUCUUUCAGGGUGCUAGACAGCCCUCUCUGUUCUUCAGAGAGGCUUAGAGAAUAUCUGGUAACAAGGUGACCUCUCGUUAAGGGAAAUGGCAGUUUGGGAGCUGUGAUGUUUGCGUUGAUGGUGUGGCCUGCAGGGUUUUAACUGUUUCUAAAAUGCCAGCAUGAACUGUGAAGACAUAGAGGAGGUGGUAUUGUUCAGAAUGGGCCCAGGAAGGAAAAACUGUGCCCACAGCUGAGUGGGGGAGGGGACCCAUGAGGGGUGCGGGCCUUAGGGAAUUAGAAGGGAGGGCAAAGAGGAGGCUUCAAGGGCAGAGCACAUGGAUGUGAGUCCAGGAGCCAAGUGCAAGGGCAGGAGGAUAAAAGAAUGGAUUCGGGCCCAUCGAUGGGGAAGUGAGGCCAAUGCACAGGUCCAAAAGGGAGGGAACCAGACGGAAAAGAAGGGAGGCUUGCAAUCCACGUGGCAACCCUGGUCCUUAAAGUGACGGUUUUAUCCUUGCAAAUUUGCCAUCAAGGCAGAGGCUGAGGUGGCAGUGAGCUGAACAC